rnacentral:rRNA from 1 species
GAUCAGUGGCCUCGAGGACGAACGCUGGCGGCGUGCUUAACACAUGCAAGUCGAACGGAACUUAUAUGAUAGAGGAUUCGUCCAAUUGAUUAUAAGUUUAGUGGCGGACGGGUGAGUAACGCGUGAGUAACCUGCCUUGGAGUGGGGAAUAACACAGUGAAAAUUGUGCUAAUACCGCAUAAUGCAUUUGAGUCGCAUGGCUCUAACUGGCCAAAGAUUUAUCGGCAAAGGAUGGGCCUGCGUCUGAUUAGCUAGUUGGUGGGGUAACGGCCUACCAAGGCGACGAUCAGUAGCCGACCUGAGAGGGUGAUCGGCCACAUUGGAACUGAGACACGGUCCAAACUCCUACGGGAGGCAGCAGUGGGGAAUAUUGCACAAUGGGCGAAAGCCUGAUGCAGCAACGCCGCGUGAAGGAAGAAGGUCUUCGGAUCGUAAACUUCUGUCCUUAGGGAAGAUAAUGACGGUACCUUUGGAGGAAGCCCCGGCUAACUACGUG